rnacentral:rRNA from 1 species
CUGGCGGCGUGCUUAACACAUGCAAGUCGAACGAACCUUCGGGUUAGUGGCGGACGGGUGAGUAACGCGUGAGAAUCUGCCCUCAGGAGGGGGAUAACGGUUGGAAACGACCGCUAAUACCCCAUAUGCCUACUGGUGAAAUGAAUUUCGCCUGAGGAUGAGCUCGCGUCUGAUUAGCCAGUUGGUGAGGUAAUGGCUCACCAAGGCUUCGAUCAGUAGCUGGUCUGAGAGGAUGAUCAGCCACACUGGGACUGAGACACGGCCCAGACUCCUACGGGAGGCAGCAGUGGGGAAUUUUCCGCAAUGGGCGAAAGCCUGACGGAGCAACGCCGCGUGAGGGAUGAAGGCCUCUGGGCUGUAAACCUCUUUUCUCAAGGAAGAAGAUAUGACGGUACUGAGGAAUAAGCCACGGCUAAUUCCG